UACGUAGGGUACAAGCGUUGUCCGGAAUUAUUGGGCGUAAAGAGCUCGUAGGUGGUCUGUCACGUCUGCUGUGGAAACGCAAGGCUCAACCUUGCGCGUGCAGUGGGUACGGGCGGACUAGAGUGCAGUAGGGGAGUCUGGAAUUCCUGGUGUAGCAGUGAAAUGCGCAGAUAUCAGGAGGAACACCGGUGGUGAAGGCGGGACUCUGGGCUGUAACUGACGCUGAGGAGCGAAAGCAUGGGGAGCGAACAGG
rnacentral:rRNA from 1 species